rnacentral:rRNA from 1 species
AAACGAAGCAGUGAACUUAAGCCCCAGUAAACGGCGGCCGUAACUAUAACGGUCCUAAGGUAGCGAAAUUCCUUGUCGGGUAAGUUCCGACCCGCACGAAAGGCGUAACGAUUUGGGCACUGUCUCAACAACAGACUCGGUGAAAUUGUAAUUCCGGUGAAGAUGCCGGAUACCUGCGACAGGACGGAAAGACCCCAUGGAGCUUUACUGUAGCUUGACAUUGGGUCUUGGUACUACAUGUACAGGAUAGGUGGGAGGCUUUGAAACCAGGACGCCAGUUUUGGCGGAGCCAUCCUUGGGAUACCACCCUUGUAGUACUGGGACUCUAACCAUAGGCCAUGAAUCUGGUCUUGGGACACUGUCAGGUGGGCAGUUUGACUGGGGCGGUCGCCUCCCAAAAGGUAACGGAGGCGCUCAAAGGUUCUCUCAGUACGGUCGGAAAUCGUACGUAGAGUGUAAAGGCAAAAGAGAGCUUGAUUGCAAGACAUACAGGUCGAGCAAGGAUGAAAAUCGGACUUAGUGAUCCGGUGGUUCUGCGUGGAAGGGCCAUCGCUCAACGGAUAAAAGCUACCCUGGGGAUAACAGGCUUAUCUCCCCCAAGAGUCCACAUCGACGGGGAGGUUUGGCACCUCGAUGUCGGCUCAUCACAUCCUGGGGCUGUAGUAGGUCCCAAGGGUUGGGC